UACGGAGGGUGCAAGCGUUAUCCGGAUUUACUGGGUUUAAAGGGUGCGUAGGUGGGCAGGUAAGUCAGUGGUGAAAUCUCCGAGCUUAACUCGGAAACUGCCAUUGAUACUAUCUGUCUUGAAUUACCUGGAGGUGAGCGGAAUAUGUCAUGUAGCGGUGAAAUGCUUAGAUAUGACAUAGAACACCAAUUGCGAAGGCAGCUCACUACGGAUAUAUUGACACUGAGGCACGAAAGCGUGGGGAUCAAACAGG
rnacentral:rRNA from 1 species